rnacentral:tRNA from 2 species
GCGGGGAUACCCGAGCCUGGUCUAAUGCCAAGAAGUAAAUCUGCUUCUGGCAGAUCGGAGGGGCAGGGCUUAGGACCCUGUGUCAUAGGACUUCGCCGGUUCAAAUCCGGCUCCCCGCA